rnacentral:rRNA from 1 species
CCUACGGGGUGCAGCAGUGGGGAAUAUUGGGCAAUGGGCGCAAGCCUGACCCAGCAACGCCGCGUGAAGGAAGAAGGCUUUCGGGGUGUAAACUUCUUUUCUGAGGGACGAAGAAAGUGACGGUACCUCAGGAAUAAGCCACGGCUAACUACGUGCCAGCAGCCGCGGUAAUACGUAGGUGGCAAGCGUUAUCCGGAUGUAUUGGGUGUAAAGGGCGUGUAGGCGGGAAAGCAAGUAAGAUGUGAAAACUGAGGGCUCAACCCUGAGCCUGCAUUUGAAAUUGUUUUUCUUGAGUGCUGGAGAGGGAAUCGGAAUUCCGGGUGUAGCGGGGAAAUGCGUAGAUAUACGGAGGAACACCAGUGGCGAAGGCGGAUUGCUGGACAGUAACUGACGCUGAGGCGCGAAAGCGUGGGGAGCAAACAGGAUUAGAUACCCCGGUAGUC